GUUUCCCUGCGGUGUUUGCAAAGGCAUAUAUUCCUUUGAACCAAUAAAGUUUGCUUAGGUUGCCGGGAGUCGUAGCAGGUGCGCGCGUUCCUAUCGGAAUGUACCCGAAGUUACCCGAGGCAGCCACCUUGUUGACAAGGUUCAAGCGGACUCAGCCCGAGCGGCAUUCGCGGGGUUCCC
rnacentral:other from 1 species